rnacentral:lncRNA from 1 species
CAGCAACACAAAAGUCAGAGGUUUCUGUGCAGACACGUCUGUCUGUUCUCCAUCCUGGCAUGGAUAUGUCUCAAUCAGGCAAAAGCACUGAGGGUGGAUGUAGAGCUGGGUUAGUGAAUAGCAUCACCAGGGGAGAUUCUCAAGGGCCAGGCAGAGGGGUGUUGAGGGCCUGGGAUUCUCCAUCUUGGCACAGAAAAUGUAUGUUUAAGUAGAUACUGCAAAGUACAUUUAAAUAUAAAAUCCCAUGCCUUUAUUUUUUUAAGAGUAGCAACUUGGUGGGGAAACCAGACAGAAGGAAUUUAGAAAUUAACUUAUGUGAAAAUGACCUGGACUGGAAAUAGACUUGAUAUGAGCAUUUGCAGUUGCCCUUAGGGGGCUGGAAAGAACACUAUUGUGCAUUAGCCAGAUGAGUUCAUAAAUAAGCCAAGCUUCUUCUUUGUUAACCCCUAUAUCAGCUAAUUGCCGGGUCAAUCUGAACCUGCUCAGUUUUCCAGAAGAUAUUGAGCGAAAUGCCCAGCAAAGCAAAGGUGAAAUGUCUCUGUGGCUUUGCUGGAGAAACUAGGGCUUGGAGCGAGGCAAACAUCCUCCUCCACAGAUUGUGACAGCAAUUCUGAACCACAGUAAGGCACUUAACUAGGCAUUGAAAGGUUUUAUGCUUAAGUGUCCACUGUUUCUUUGCAGAGGACGUGAAGAUACUAGCCCAGUUGUUAGAGCAUGAGACUCUUAAUCUCAGAGUCCUGGGUUCAAGCCCCACAUGGGCAAAAGAUUCCUGCAUUGCAGAGGGUUGGACUCGAUGAUCCCUCUAUCCAAUUCUAUGAUGCUAUGUGGACACGGUUGGCGCUGUGGUCUAAACCACAGAGCCUAGGGCUUGCCAGUCGGAAGGUCAGCGGUUCGAAUCCCUGUGACGGGGUGAGCUCCCGUUGCUCAGUCCCUGCUCCUACCCACCUAGCAGUUCAAAAGCACGCCAAGUGCAAGUAAAUAAAUAGGUACCACUCCGGCGGGAAGGUAAACGGCGUUUCCAUGCACUGCUCUGUUUCGCCAGAAGCGACUUAGUCAUGCUGGCCACAUAACCCAGAAGCUAUACGCCGGCUCCCAAGGCCAGUAAAGUGAGAUGAGCGCCGCAACCCCAGAGUCGUCCACAACUGGACCUAACAGUCAGGGGUACCUUUACCUUUACCUUUACCUUUAUGUGGAAGCCGCAUAUCCUUUCUUCCUGCAGAGAAGCAAUUGUGACAGCAGGGACCCCCUUCUGAACCACUCCAUUAUUUCCUAGGAGCCCUGCUGAGUCCUGGGGACACCAGCUGCCACUGUCCACAGGGGAUGCUCAGGGCUAACGAUUUUGGCCCCAGUCCUCUCUUUUCUCCUCGGGGCUUCCUCAGGGCUAGCUCUUCAGAGAAAGGUUGGGUUGGGAUGUCUUCUCCAUAUUUCCUUGGCUUCUAAUCUGAGUGCAGAAGUAUUCAGGAGCUUCAGGUGCUCACCUCUCCUUCUGAGAUGGGCAUUGCUGAAUUCCUGAAGCCCAAUUCAAGGUCUGUGAUUAGGGAUCUUCACCAGCACCUUUGGUACAUACAAGCCAAUGGGGGAUGUUUGAUUGUGGAAGGAACCACCUGCUUAGCAGCUGUCUCCAUCCUUAGGCCAAUCUAAUGCAACAACGAAGCGCCUACAUUGCAUUUAUCAAAAGGCGGUUGUUUAGUUUAUGGUGCAAAUGGUUACGGUUCAAUUUUUUCCAGUGCAGGUUUUUGCAUCUCGUGUAUCCUCGUAAGGCUUUUUCGGUGGCACGACCUCCCCUGAAUGGGUUCAUUGUGUUUAUUUCAAAACGCUAAGAGGCAAUGAAUGAUUUGAUCUGAAAUAGGAUAAUUGCUGCGCUGCAUCGCACAGAAUCCCAGUGAGCUGGAGAACAUGUGUUAU